UAGCUCACUACAAUCCUGUCCGAAUAGUAGCUGCCAAAGUAGACUGAGCUGUCAAACACUUCGGGGAAUUUAUUGAAAAUUAGCCCUCACGUUUUAUCCCAUAAAUAUAUUCAUUUUCUAGAAUUUAAGCCCGAUUCAUGUGGGUUUAGACACCAUUUUCUUCCGGCAGAAGGCACUAAGUCUCAGAUGUCAUUGAGCUGUUGAAUGAAACAUGCUCGAGAAUUUAUGAUUAAGCAGUUCUAUAAUGCAUUUAGUCCCUGUUUGGUUCAACUAAGAAGUUGAUUAAAAUUUAAGUCAUAUCAAUAAUUAAUUUUAACCACAUAUUUCAUGUAACCCACAACUUUUCAACCGCACAUUCAAACGAGAUUUAUUGUAAUUUACUAAGAAAUUGAGUUUUAUCUCAACCAAACAGGGCGUUAAUAUGCAGAACAUGAAAUUAGUGCCAGAGGUAAUGGAGGCUUAUGAAGGUUAUCAUGAUGGUGAUUGAAAUGGCUGGUUGUAAUGAUGUGCAGUGACCGUGAUUUUAAAUUGCUCACUAUUUCCUUUUUUCACUUUGAUGAGAAAAUCUCUUCGGUAAAGUUUUGUGCUCAUGCCAAUGCUAGUUUUUGGUUCUGAUGCGCACCAGGAAGAGGGGUGGGGGGUGAGGGUGUUGGCUGCCCCUCUAUGUUGGGAAGAUUUCUUGGUACUUUAUUGAACAAAUGGCUUAUAAUGUUUCAUUAGAAUUCCUUAACACACUGUAGUCAAAUUGACUGGUCAAUAUUCAAAUAUAUUUGUCUUCUCUAGAUACCUUUUUCUGGAUAAAUUCUUGGCAGAAGUCUCAGGGAUACUGACAAUGCCAAAAACCUUUCUGUUACGAAUUCUGGUGUUGGUGCAUCCUAUUCUGCUUUGCGGAAUUAAGAGAUGUUUAGAGAACCAAGACUUAUUUUCAUGGUCUUGUAGGGAAAGAUUUGAAUGAGAAAAAUUGGCUUAAGUGAGAUCCUCUGCUGAAAAAAUGUGUUGGAAAUGAAUCUAAAAAGACUUCCCUUUGACCUUUCACCAACUAUAAGAUCGAAAGAGAGCACAACACAUGAGUUUUGACAAUUGAAUGUGCUUGACCAUUAGGCUUGAUUUAACACAUCUUUAAUAGUAUUCCUAACUAAUAAAGAAAGAACAAUCUGCUUCACUAGUGAGAUUGAUUGGUACGUACUUGAAGAUCUAAAGAUGCCAGUGCUUUUUCACUUGAAUUCUUGAAUGCAGCUCACUGGGACGUUAUAUUCUAGGCUAGAGAUUCUAUUU